CCGGCUCUCCCUGAGCUUUGUCUUGACGUCUCCCUCUCCCUCUCCACUUGCCACCAUAGCUGCUUACUUCUCACCUAACCUCUGAAGCCACGUCUCAAGUCCCACCUCUUGUGGGGAUCCCCGCUGUACUUCAGCCCUGGCAGAAUUCAGGCCCUUCAUCUCUGUUGUCCUCACAGGAUUCCUUUCAUUCCUCGGCUGUAAUUGUCACCAUCCGUGUUUCGUGGUCGCCCAACUGUGAGCUCACUGGGGCCGAUAACUGCGUCUGACUCCUCUGGCUGUCUUCACACCUGUAAGAAUGGCUGCCCGCUUACGAGGCUCUCAAAGGAUCCACAAUCUGAGAUUUGGAUGAAGAUUGUCCAAUCAAUCCUUCAUUUUGUGGAUGAGGUUGUGGAAACAGAAAAGCUAGAGUGACUUGCUUGGGAUCACAAGUAA
rnacentral:lncRNA from 1 species